GAUCGCUUGAACUUUAAGAGAUUUUUUUUUUUCAUAAUUUGCAUGUCAACAAUUUUAUAUUUAGGAUGCGCGUGUCUGACAUGCAUAUGUAGGUGCGCAGUUAGGUAUUACGUUCUGCAACCCGCAAUCAAUCUUGCCGAGGUGGAUCGAGCGUGAUUUUGCGAGAAUUACGGCCGAUUUCACUAGCUUUCCUCCGAAUUAGAUAACGUUCAUUAAAUUCGCGGUUAACGACUCUUUAGACGCAUAAUUUUCUUGUCCCAGAAUCUCAUUCUUCAUAUCUCGUUUUGAAGCCUCGUGAAGCUGUGACGGCAAAAGUCGGAAGGAAUUUACGCUCGAGCUGACAUUCACCAACGCGAGAUGUGGAUGUUAAUUAAAUUUCUCUAUUCGAGGGAACAAAUUAUGCAACCGGCACAGAAAAAUAUACAGUCUGUUUCACGCGAUACGUACAAAGAGGGGAUCUCUUAUGACAACUAUUCCAGCUGGAUCGUACUUCCCAAGUA